rnacentral:rRNA from 1 species
CAAAAACAUCGCCUCCCGCAAAAAUCAAUGUAUAGGAGGUCUUGCCUGCCCAGUGACUAUAAGUUAAACGGCCGCGGUAUUUUGACCGUGCAAAGGUAGCGCAAUCACUUGUCUUUUAAAUGAAGACCUGUAUGAAUGGUGAAACGAGGGCUUAACUGUCUCCCCCUUCUAGUCAAUGAAAUUGAUCUACCCGUGCAGAAGCGGAUAUAAUAAUACAAGACGAGAAGACCCUUUGGAGCUUAAGAUAAAAGACCAAUUAUGUUAAAAGUCCUAAAACAAGACUAAACCAAAUAAUGCUGGUCCUAAUCUUCGGUUGGGGUGACCACGGGAGAAAACAAAACUCCCAUGCGGAUUGGGGUUAUUCCCUAAAACUAAGAAAGACAUCUCUAAGACACAGAACAUCUGACCACAAAGACCCGGCUACAUACCGACCAACGGACCAAGUUACCCUAGGGAUAACAGCGCAAUCCCCUUCCAGAGUCCAUAUCGACAAGGGGGUUUACGACCUCGAUGUUGGAUCAGGACAUCCUAAUGGUGCAGCCGCUAUUAAGGGUUC